rnacentral:piRNA from 1 species
GUUGGAUAAAAGCAGUUUGAGUUAC